rnacentral:rRNA from 1 species
AUUGAACGCUGGCGGCAGGCCUAACACAUGCAAGUCAAGCGAGCGGCGGAAGUGUGAGUAAUGUAUGGUGCCUGCCCGAUAGAGGGGGAUAACUACUGGAAACGGUGGCUAAUACCGCAUACUAUAGGAGCACCCAUAUGGGAUUAGCUAGGAGGUGGGUGAAAGGCUCCCCUAGGCGACGAUAUCUCGCUGGUCUGAGAGGAUGAGCAGCCACACUGGGAGUGAGACACGGCCCAGGUUCCUUCGGAGGCAGCAGUGGGGAAUAGGGGACAAGGGGCGCAAGCCUGAUGCAGCCAUGCCGCGUGUAUGAAGAAGGCCUUAGGGUUGUAAAGUAAUUUCAGCGGGGAGGCGUUACCCGCAGAAGAAGCACCGGCUAACUCCGUGCCAGCAGCCGCGGUAAUAC